GGAACUUGUCCAUCCGUACUGAUCCGAGGUCACAUUCAGAAGUUGGGGGUUUAACGGCUUGGCCGCGCCGCGUACCAGUUGCGAGGGUUUUACUACUACGCAAUGGAAGCUGCAGCGAGACCGCCACUGUAUUUCGGUGGG
rnacentral:misc_RNA from 1 species